rnacentral:rRNA from 1 species
UACGGAGGUGGCAAGCGUUGCUCGGAAUCACUGGGCGUAAAGGGCGCGUAGGCGGGGAGGUAAGUCGGGUGUGAAAUCCCUCGGCCCCAACUGAGGAACUGCGCCCGAGACUGCUUCUCUUGAGUCCCGGAGAGGAAGAUGGAAUUCCCGGUGUAGCGGUGAAAUGUGUAGAGAUCGGGAGGAACACCGGUGGCGAAGGCGGUCUUCUGGACGGUGACUGACGCUGAGGCGCGAAAGCGUGGGG